UUCCACUAUAUAUGUAUACAUAUGUUUGUUUGUUUUUUCUUUUAGUUAUUGGCCGAGGUUUCUUCCAUUGAUUAUGGGAUCACAUUUUCUAAGCAUAUAUACCAAAUUGCAACUGUACUUCUGAAUGUGUAUACCUGAUAAGGCUGGUUUUUGAGGAUCACCUUCUUAAGGAAACCAGGGCUUCCACACUAAAACAGGGUGAGGAGGUGCGUGUAUAUGACAAACAUAAACAGCUACGACAACAGGUAAGGGACCGGAGAACAUAGAUAUUAAUUAUAAGCAGGGAAGAGACCGGGAGUACAUAGAUAUUAUAAACAGCUACGACAACAGGGAAGGGACCGGAGUACAUAGAUAUUAUAAACAGCUACGACAACAGGGAAGGGACCGGAGUACAUACAUAUUAUAAACAGCUACGACAGCAAGGCAGCAAACUUAUUAAAGUCCUGAUCUGCUGAUCAAUACCGAGCUUUUACCAAUGGUCAUGGAGUCAUUUCUUUAUCCUUAUUUGGCACCCAAACGAGAGUAUCACUAUCUAUAAAGUGACAAACAGCAGGUCCUGGCUUAAUUUUGAGAACUUCAAACGCCAUAUGGUCUGGACUCCAAGCUGACGUGUUCAGGUGGCAAACCGUUACAGCCUUCACUCUUGUGCCAUCAGCACCCACUAAUGGAACCUCAUCAACCUCUGUGUCUGCGAUUACAUGGCAAUAGUGCACUGCAUAAGGAUAUCUCAUCUUGUGACACACUGCUGCUUUAUGAUCUCCAAUCAUUCUCACUUCGGCUGAAACCGUAUACUCUUGCUUCUUGCCUGCUCCAGUCGAGAGUACCCGAACAUUUUGGCCAAGCCUUUCAACACUAUAAUCAAUUAAUGACUCUAGAGAUGUAGCACAAUAUUUGUCUUCUCCUUCCAUGUUUGGCUCCUCGCAUCCUCCUAUUUCUUCUCUGAUGACCUGAGCCUCUUUUGAGUUGACUUCUAGUGUAAAGUACUUCAAAAUCUCUGGUAUUUUGUCACUGGAAAAUGGUAUAGACUCUGCGAUUUGACGAGGCAAGAAACUAACCUUGGUUCCACUAUCCGUAAAAAGAAUUUUCAAUUUUUUACCUGGAUGGAGAUCGUUGUACUGGUAGAAUAUCGUUGAGUCAGGGAGGGCAGACUUUAGGGAUUUUUUAUCGCCUCUUUUAUAGCCUCGUUUGUAAACUCUUCUAUAGAUUCUUUGGAUAACAGUAGCACUUACGUUUUCAUUAGCGAAUUCUCUGGUGAUUGAAGGAUAAUGACCAGGUUGUAGAAGAUAUUCCAGGGCUUUUGGCAAUGGAGUGUUGGGCAACCUUGAGUACCAAUACUUCUCAGUAGGUGGAGAAAUAUCGCUAGGGAGGAAGGUGGCAACUUUCUUUGGUAAAGGGACAUUGUCAGCAGCCACAGCCACUGUCGUGUGGGAUACACCGAUGGUAUUGGCAGCGGUGGAGAAGGUAAUGUAGAGGGAGAGAGUAAGAAAGAAGAGGAGGAGCAGUGCACAAGAAUUGGCUAUAGACAUUUUUUGAAGAUAAUGAAGAAGUGAGCAAGUGACAUUAUUUAUGGAGGUAAAUUUGUUUAUAUCCUGCAAGGCAACACGCGUGUGAAGUGAGAAGUUGACAAGUCAAAGGUAGAGACAAGCUCAAAGACACAAGGUCUGCUUGGUAGCCAAUAGGGUUUGAGAGAGAGAGAGAGAAAUGGGGUUGCUCAAGGAAUGAGGCAUAUCAUUUUGCAAUCGACUCCUUCCAUUUUUGACGCUCGCUGACAGAGCUGUCAGCGCUGCUUGCUCGAGGCAGUGAGGGCAGCUAUGUCCUUGCGCUCUCUCUCACGGGCGGUGCAAGUGUGUGGGGUUGAUAGUGACCACGCCUUCCCUCACUCCUGUCUUUGUCUGCCCGGCAUUCAAGACGCGAUAAUUGAUCAAAUAGUAUACUUUGUAUAUUAGCGAGGAAAAUUAGAAAUAUUGACAAAAAAUUGUAUAGUUUAAAAAUAAUUAGUCAUAUAGUAUACUUUGUAUACGUGAUAAUUCACAAUUAUAAUAUUUAAAAAUAUCACGUUUAGAUAUGGUGAUUUUAUCCAUUGAAUGUUAUAAUUUUAAAUUGUAUUUUAACCUGGUUUGUUUUUCUCUACCACCAUUGUAGCUUUUCUCUUUAUAAAAAACUUGCUGUUUAUAUUCUUUCUUUCUAAAAAACUUAUUGAUACUGCCGUCCUGGCUUUAUAGUGUGUUUGUUGUCCGCUAGUUUAACCUCGUUUGUUUUUCAUGUUAGUGGUGAAACAAAUACAAUAAUUUAUUUAGUAACAAGGAAAGUGUAUUUUAUGCUGUGAGAGUCAUUAAAAAAUUAAAUAUAAAAUAUAAGUUUUGUGUAGUAGUUUUUAUAUAUGUUUUAAUUGAGUUUUGUAAAUAUUUUUAUUUUAUUUAAAUAUUUUAUAUGUUUUUUUGUUACAUAUAAACUUCAACCAUAAUUUUUACUAAACACAUAUUUAAAUCCAACUAAUAAUAAUUAAAAAUAUUUUUUUAAAAUUUAUUUUUUUCAAAUCACAACCAUAAAAAUUACCUAAAAAACAAACACAACUUUAUACGCUCAAAAAUCCAUAAAGUAUAAACCCUACACCACUUUUCAAGUCACGAGCGUAGACUUCCACCACUCCCUAGUGGAAAAAUACUAUGUAAACAAACUACAUUUGUAUUAAUUAAGUGUUUUUCAUAGUUAAUUUAUGUCAAAAUCACUCUUCCCAUCUCACCAAGUUUAGUGUCAAAAUCACCAUCCAUAAAGUAUAAACCCUACACCACUUUUCAAGUCACGAGCGUAGACUUCCACCACUCCCUAGUGGAAAAAUACUAUGUAAACAAACUACAUUUGUAUUAAUUAAGUGUUUUUCAUAGUUAAUUUAUGUCAAAAUCACUCUUCCCAUCUCACCAAGUUUAGUGUCAAAAUCACCAUCCAUAAAGUAUAAACCCUACACCACUUUACAAGUCACGAGCAUAGACUUCCACCACUCCCUAGUGGAAAAAUAGUAUGUAACAAACUACAUUUGUAUUAGUUAAGUGUUUUUCAUAGUUAAUUUAUGUUUAAUUUGUGCUUGCUUGAAAUUAAGGUUUAAUUUACAAAUUAGGUUGGUUUAAAAUUACAGUUUGAUUGAAUUGUGUUAAUAUCUAUUAAUUUAUAAAAAUAGGGUUGAUUUUUAAUAAUGAGCAUGGAAAUAGCAUGAAUUAUGUUUCAUUUUAAUCAAUUAUGCUUGCGGUGAUUUGUCAACUAAGUUGUUGAAAUUAAGGUUUUUGAUUGGUUUAUGAUAAAUUACCAUGAAUUUAUAUAAUUAGAGUUGAUUUCAUGCAAAUAAACAUGAAAAUAACAUGAAUUAGAAUGAGUUUUGAUCAAUUAUGUUUUUCGUUGAUUUGUCAGAUAGGUUGGAUUUUAAUGAAUUUUGCGUGGCGUUGAAUGUUUGGAUAAAUUAUUGAAUUUAAGGAUUUUGUAUGAAUUAGUAGAAAUUAAUUAUGAAUUCAAGCAAUUAGUGUUUUUUAGUACAAACAAGAAGUUCUUAAAGAAGAUGACUUAGUCAUUUGGUUAUAUCUUCUUCUUUUUAUUAGGGUCUUAGAUGUAGUUGAGUUUGUGAUAACAAAUGAUUCUGAGUAGUCAUGUAUAGUUUUGCCAUAACUAAAUAAGGAUAUGCUCCAAACAUACCAAACAUAUUAUGCUCUAAAUAAGGAUAACUAAAUUAUGACCUAGAAGAUGCAUUUAUAAAUUAGUGGGACAUGUUUAGGACUAAGAAAAGGUCUAGUCGCACCAAACUAGAAUAAGGGAUCAAAGGGACUAUAAUUUUUUAUUCCAACAUUAGAUCAAGUUGAAAUUUUUACAGGAGUUUUUGGAGACUGUUUAUUUUCUAUAAUAGCCACUACAUCACUACAUGUACUGUUGGUUUUUAAAAAAUCUCGCUCAAAACCCAUGGAUUUGGUAAUUUUGUUAUUUUCCUUGUGUUUUUUUUUCAUGUUUUAUUUUAAAUUUUAUGCUUCUUUCAUUGGCUCUUUGACAUGCCUCACAUUAUCUAAUAUAGUCCUUUACUUUAAAUUUCAUUACCACCUAACAAAAAUCCCUCAUUGGUUGGCUUAGGGGUAUCUCUGAAUGACCUACUGUUGGAUUGUCAUAUAUAUGCUACAUGAUUGUUGACUUGAGGGGAAAUUUUUUAUAGAUAUAAAUUCCUUCCUUGUACAGCAGCACCCCACCAUUUAUUUGGUACCUCAGGUCACCUAUAGUGUCACCAUUCAUCUACUAAAAGAUUUGUUGUAUUUCCUUCACCUAGUACAGCUUUCUUUGAGGUUUUCUACUCACCAUUACUAUCCACCUUAAUCCGACUCUAAUAAUGAAUAUAGUAAUAUUUAAACUUGUAAUCAUUUAAUUAUUAAAUUUUAAUAUCAUAUUUCAAUUCAAAAAUUUAAUUUAUCAAUUGAAGUACGAAGAAUGGUUUUAUAUAUCACUCUCUUACGGUCCAAAUUCCUUCUUCUUUUUAUGUUUACAAAUUUUUGUUUUUUUAUUUUAUUUCUUGACCGAGGUUCCUUCCAUUGAUUAUGGGAUCUCACAUUUUCUAAAGCAUACCAAGUUGCCGUGGUGAUUCGUAAUUUUUGUAAGUGUCCUGUUUCUUUAUUAUUCUUAAGGGAUCAACACAAUAGGGCUGGGGAGUGCAUAUGCAUUACAAACACAAACAGGUAAGACAUGCAACAGGGGAGGGAACGGGAGUACAUACAUAUUACAAAUAGCUAUGACAACAAGGCAGCAAAUUUUAUUAAGGCCUUUUAUCAAGACCAAGCUUUGACAUAUUUUCAUGGAGUCAUCUCUUUAUCCCUUCGUUGGCACCCAAACGAGAGUAUCACUAUCGAGAAAGUGACAAACAGCUGGUCCUGGCUUAAUUUUGAGAACUUCAAACGCCAUAUGGUCUGGAGUCCAAGCUGAUUGAUGUGAUUUAUUAUAAGAGUUUUCAAAAUAUAUUUAUUAUUUUUAAAUUAUAUCGAGUAUUAGCUGAAACAAAUAAGUCGCAUUACUAUCAUUUAAUUGACAGGUUGAUUUGUUUUAUUUUGAUUUUGCCUGUUUUCACUACUACUAUAGACUUGAUAUUUUCGGCUAUGAAACAUGUUAAAACUGUACUUCUUAAUAAAAUGAAAGAGGAGUUUUUAGCAGAUUUUAUGAUGAUUUACAUUGAACGAAAACUUGUUGAAGAUAUUAAUUCGGAUUCAAUUAUAAAUGAAUUAUAUUCUAUAAAAUAUCAAAUGGUGCAACUUUAAUAGUGUAAUUUAUUUUUAUUUUGAAUUUUAUGUACUUAAAAUUUUAUUUUUUAUAUAUUUUAUGUUAUGUAUUUGAAUUAAAAUUUUAUUAUUAACUUAACAAAUUUAUAUAUCCAAGUUGACUAUUAAUUUUAAAAAGUAAUUUAUAUGCAUUUAUAUCAUACUCUAGAAUAAAAAAAAAAUUCUGACUCCGCCCCUGACUCCAAGCUGAUGUGUUGAGGUUGCAAACUGUCACGGCUUUCACUUUUGUGCCAUCAGCACCCACUAAGGGUACCUCAUAAAUUUCUGUGUCUGCGAUUACAUGGCAAUAGUGUGCUGCAUAGGGAUAUCUCAUCUUGUGACACACUGCUGCUUUGUGAUCUCCAAUCAUCGUCGCUUUGGCCGAAACAGUAUACUCUUGCUUCUUGCCUGCGUCAGUGGGAAGUACCCGAACAUUUUGGCCAAGCCUUUCAACACUAAAAUCAAUUAAUGACUCCAGAGAUGUAGCACAUAAUUUUUCUUCUCUUUCCAGUCAAAACGUACGCAGAGUUUUCAAAUGGAUUCAAUUGUUUAUUUUCACUUAGUAACUUCCUCUGUUACAAGCAGAAUAUAUAUAGCUACUCUACAUAAGAAUCCCUACGUUUCAGAUCCUAUAGUUUAGGACUGAUUUGCUAAUUACAUGGAAACCUAUUUCUACUAGGAUACAAUCACGUAUUUACCGGGAUGCUGGAAUAUAUCUUUCCAGCUAAUAUCAGAGACAAUGUAGGACUUGAAUGCUGCAAAUCCAACUUGGAGAUAAUUACCGCAAUUGUUAACACUCCCCCUCAAGUUGGUGCGUAGAUGUCACUCAUUCCAAUUUCGCUGAGAAUUGUACUAAACGCGUGGUUUGACAAUGCCUUGGUUAGUAUAUCAGCGAGCUGGUCUUGAGAUCGAACAUGAGGAACUUCAAUUAGCUUUUCUUCUAGCUUUUCCUUGAUAAAAUGCCUAUCAACUUCAACAUGUUUAGUACGAUCAUGUUGAACAGGAUUAUGAACAAUAUCACAUGCUGCCUUGUUGUCACAAUACAACUUCAUAGGAUUGACUGGCUUAAUAUGUAAAUCUAUCAUCAGAUUUCUAAUCCACAACAAUUCGCAUAUAGCUUUAGUCAUCCCUCUAUAUUCAGCCUCAGCACUUGAUCUAGCAACUACCUCCUGUUUUUUUACUUCGCCAUGUAACCAAGUUUCCUCCUACAAACGUGAAAUAACCAGAAGUAGAACGUCGAUCUUGAAUAGAACCAGCCCAAUCAGCAUCUGUAUAACCAUUAACAUCCAAAUUGUGUCUUUUUGUGAACAAAAUUCCUUUUCCUGGAGACGACUUCAAGUAGCGUAAGAUACGGGUGACAGCAUUCAUAUGUUCUUCGCUUGGAGAGUGCAUAAAUUGACUGACCACACUCAAUGAAUAAGCUAAAUCAGGUCGAGUAUGUGCAAGAUACAUUAACCUUCCAACCAACCUCUAAUAGCGUUCUUUGUUAGUCGGAACUUGAUUGGAAUCACCAUGUAGUUUCAAGUUCUCUUCCAUAGGAGUGCUAGCUGGACUGCAUGUUGUCAUACCUGUUUCACUUAGUAAGUCUAAGGCAUAUUUUCUUUGUGAAAGAAAAAUACCUUUAUCUGACCGUGACACUUCAAUGCCCAAGAAAUACUUCAACUCUCCAAGGUCUUUCAUCUCAAACUCACGGGCAAGGUGCUCGUGUAAUCUUUUCCUCUCUCCUGAAUCAUCUCCGGUUACUAUUAUAUCAUCAACAUACACAAUGAGAAUUGUAAUGUGUUUUUCAUUAUGCUUCAAGAAUAAAGUGUGAUCCGAGUUACUCUGUGUGUAACCAACUGUCUUCAUAAAAUUUGUGAACCUUCCGAACCACGCUCUGGGAGACUGCUUUAAACCAUAUAGGGAUUUUCUCAACCUGCAGACCUGUUUAUUACCUUCCGUUUGCUGUUUACAGCUAGGAGGUAAUUCCAUAUAUACUUCUUCUUGGAGAGUUCCAUGUAGAAAUGCAUUCUUUACGUCAAAUUGAUGUAGCGGCCAGUCAAGAUUAACUGCUAGAGAUAGUAUAAUACGAACAGUAUUAAGUUUGGCCACCGGUGAAAAAGUCUCCAUAUAAUCAAUUCCAUAUGUUUGAGUAUAUCCCUUGGCUACCAGCCUUGCUUUGCACCGUUCAAUAGUUCCAUCAGCUUUGUAUUUAAUGGUGAAGACCCACCUACACCCAACAGGUUUCUUUCCUUUCGGCAAGUCAACAAUGUCCCAUGUUGAGUUUUUUUUGAAGGGCUUUCAUUUCUUCAUUCAUUGCCUCCCUCCAUCUAGGAUCAGCCAAGGCUUCCUGCACAUUGUUAGGAAUAGAUACAACGGAUAAUUGAUGUACAAAUGCCAUUUUUUCGUUUGACAAUCUAUGAUAGGAUACAUAGUUAUUCAUAGGGUAUUUGAGUUUUGAGUGAAGGGUUGGUUCAUAGUUCACCUUGGGUUUACCUCUUGUGACUCGAUUAGGUAGUUCUUUUAGGGACUCAACUGGAUGAAUAUCAUGAGACUCAAGUCUGGAAUCAACCGGGGAAGACAAUUGGUUAACUGGUACACUGUGGGAAGCUGUCGGCCCCUCCAAGGUAUCCUGGUUACCAUCAACGAUUUCUGGACCAUUUUCACUGGUAUACUCUUCCCUGUCCUGGUGUUCCUCUGUGUUCUCAUUAACUGGACAUUCUUCAUUAGUCUCCAAGCUAUCCAAAGUAUCAAUCAGUUGGUUACCAUGUGCAAUGAUAUCCACAUUGUCUGUAGGCUUAGUUGCUAUCUGCACUUCAUCGUUCUCCUUAGUUUGAGAAGAAUAAUACAUAGUAGUUUCAUGGAAGACCACAUCCAGAGUAACAUAAAGUUGGCGAGAAGGAGGGUGAUAACAUCGAUAGCCUUUUUGGUGCAGAGCAUAGCCAACAAACACACAUCGAAGUCCCCGAGGUUCCAACUUAGUUCUCAAACCUUUAUGAAGAUGUACAUAAGCUACACAUCCAAAAACUUUAGGAGGUAAGUUUGGCAUUGUAGGAGCACUUACAAGGCGAUGGAGAACCUCGAAGGGGGUUUGGAAUUGCAGAGAACUAGAAGGUACCCUGUUGAUAAUGUAUGCUCCGGCAGUAACAGCUUCUCCCCAGUAACUAGUAGGCAUGUGAGCUUCAAAUAAGGAGGCACGAACUACCUCAAGGAUAUGACGAUUUUUCCGUUCAGCCACCCCAUUCUGUUGAGGGGUGUAAGGGCAAGUUGUUUGAUGAAUAAUGCCAUGUGUGUUCAAGUAAUCUUUCAAGCUGUGAUUGAUAAACUCUCCCCCAUUAUCAGUCCUGAUCACCUGAAUAUUGGUCUGAUACUGUGUUGCUAUCAUUUUGUGGAAUUGCUGGAAUAAAGAACUCACUUCACUCUUUGAUUUCAUUAAGCAAAUCCAAGUCAUGCGGGUGUGAUCAUCAAUGAAUGAAACAAACCAACGUGAUUCAUUUAGAGAAGGAGUGUUUGUUGGUCCCCAUACAUCUGAGUGAACAACCAUAAAAGGUGCAGGGCUUUUAUUCAUACUAAUAGGAAAUGAAACACGAUGACUUUUAGCACGUUCACAUACAUCACACUUAAAAUCUGAAACAAUCAAUUGUGAAAAUAAUUGUGGGAAUAAUUUCUGUAAAUAUCCAAAGGAUGCAUGGCCUAAACGCCUAUGCCAUAACCAAAUUUCAGACUUCUGGUGUUCAUUAGUUGUAUUAGUUGAGAAGACUUGUGCCAACUGAUUUGAGCUUGCCGGAAUCAGAUCCAUGUAGUAGAGCUUCCCUCUCCUAGUACCAUAACCAAUUGUCUUCCGAGUUUGAAUGUCCUUGAAUAUGCAAAGGUUCGGCCAAAAAAUUACAACACACAUCAAGGCACAAGUUAUUUGAGCAACAGAUAAUAAAUUAUGAUUGAGACUCGGAACAAUAAGAACUGACUCUAAAAUCAGAUUUUUUGUAAGAGUAACCGUGCCUUCUCCUGACACAGAAGAAGGAGUUCCAUUGGCUGUGAAAAUUUCAUGGUGGUUUGAGGGUUGUAUGGUCUGAAUAUUAUUGUUAAACGUCAUAUGAUUUGUGGCACCUGAAUCAAUUAUCCAUUCACUAUUUCUAACAGAAGUGGAGGUAUGAAGAGCCUUACCUGCAUUUACAGCAUCAGCACCUGUGUUCUCAGCAGUGUCGCGUGCAUUCCCAGUAAUAGCACCAGAAGAGGAGUCUUUCCCAGAUUUCUUGCCAAACAUAUGAUUUGGUUCUGCCACAGCAACAGACACAUGAGGAUUUGCCUUUAAGUUUCUCUUACGAGGUGCUUUGGAAAAAUCCCACCAUUCUGGAUAUCCAAUUAAUUCAUAGCAGCGUAGCUUAGUGUGCCCAGUUUCACCACAGUGAGUGCACAUGCGUUCUGGUCGUGCAGCUCCUAUUUCAUAGCUGCAAUUUUGCGAUCCAAUUGAAUGAUUAUGAUUCAGUGAACCAGAAGCUCGAUCUGGUUUCAGGUUCUGUGGUCGUUGAUACUUACUUCGGCGAGCUAUCAUAGCAGAUGGCUCUGAGUGUCCAGGUUCCCCAUUCAGUGUGUUUCGACGGAUAGAGUCACGACGAACAUAAGCAUAUGUUUCUUUAAGGUCUAGUGCAGAAUCUCUCCUUAGGAUCUCACCACGAAUUUGCUCAAAUUCUUCAUCAAGGCCAUUCAGAAAAAUAUGCACCCGCAGUCUCUCAACUGAUUUUUUGUAGGCAAUGACAUCAUCGGGAUCUUUCAUAACAAUCUUGUCACGAUGAUCUAGUUCUUGAAAUAUUUCUACCAAAUCACCAUAAUAGGUAGAGAUAGGACGACCAACCUGUUUGGUGGAGAACGCACGUUGGUUCAAGGUAAAUAGCUGUGAUUCAUCUGCCCCAUCAUAGAAUGCUUUGGCUAGAGCAUUCCAGAUUUCAUGUGCAGUAGGCAGUCUAAGAUAGCGUUUCAUAAUUUCUGGUGACAUGGAGGUCAACAACCAUCCUUUAAUCUUUUGAUUCUCAGCAUACCAUUUAGCAUAGGAUGGAUCAGUUUUUUCUGGGAUUGUGUUGCUUACAAGAUAUUCAAGUUUCUCUCGUCCUGCAAUUUGCAUCUCCAUGAUUUGAGACCAGACAUCAUAGUUGCUUUCAGUAAGGGUGACAUUGGUUGAGAAACUGGAAUUCUCUGAUUGAACCUGGAUAACUGGAACAGAUGAUGAUUCGGUUUUGUCACUGGCCAUGGUACGAGAAGGAGGAUUCGUAAGAUUUAUAAGGUUUGUGUGGUGAUAUAAAGAGCAGAUAAUAAACCUGCUCUGAUACCAAGUCAAAACGUAUGCAGAGUUUUCAAAGGGAUUCAAUUGUUUAUUUUCACUUAGUAACUUCCUCUGUUACAAGCAGAAUAUAUAUAGCUACUCUACAUAAGAAUCCCUACGUUUCAGAUCCUAUAGUUUAGGACUGAUUUGCUAAUUACAUGGAAACCUAUUUCUACUAGGAUACAAUCACGUAUUUACCGGGAUGCUGGAAUAUAUCUUUCCAGCUAAUAUCAGAGACAAUGUAGGACUUGAAUGCUGCAAAUCCAACUUGGAGAUAAUUACCGCAAUUGUUAACACUUCCAUGUUUGGCUCGUCACAUCCUCCUAUUUCAUAUCUGAUGACCUGAGCCUCUUUUGAGUUGACUUGUAGUGCAAAGUAGUUCAAAAUCUCUGGUAUAUAUUUUGUCACUCGAAAAUGGUAUAGACUCCGCCACCAGACGAGGCAGGAAACUAACCUUGGUCCCACUACUAGUAAAAUGAAUUCUCAUCCUUUUACCUGGAUGGAGAUCGUUGUACAGGUAGAAUAUCGUUGAGUCGGG
rnacentral:lncRNA from 1 species